GCAUAUCAAUAAGCGGAGGAAAAGAAACUAACAAGGAUUCCCCUAGUAACGGCGAGUGAAGCGGGAAGAGCUCAAAUUUGAAAUCUGGUGGCCUCAGGCUAUCCGAGUUGUAAUCUAUAGAAACAUUUUCCGCGUUGGCCCAUGUACAAGUCUCUUGGAAUAGAGCGUCAUAGAGGGUGAGAAUCCCGUCCUUGACAUGGACUACCAGUGCUUUGUGAUAUGUUUUCAACGAGUCGAGUUGUUUGGGAAUGCAGCUCAAAAUGGGUGGUAAAUUCCAUCUAAAGCUAAAUAUUGGCGAGAGACCGAUAGCGAACAAGUACCGUGAGGGAAAGAUGAAAAGCACUUUGGAAAGAGAGUUAAACAGUAUGUGAAAUUGUUGAAAGGGAAACGAUUGAAGUCAGUCGUGUCUAUUGGACUCAGCCGGUUCUGCCGGUGUACUUCCUUUAGAUGGGGUCAACAUCAGUUUUGAUCGCUGGAAAAGGGCAGGAGGAAUGUAGCACUCUCGGGUGAACUUAUAGCCUUCUGUCGCAUACAGUGGUUGGGACUGAGGAACGCAGCUUGCCUUUAUGGCCGGGAUUUAUCCACGUACAAGCUUAGGAUGUUGACAUAAUGGCUUUAAACGACCCGUCUUGAAACACGGACC
rnacentral:rRNA from 1 species